CAAUAGCGUAUAUUAAAGUUGUUGCAGUUAAAAAGCUCGUAGUCGGAUUUCGGGUUUGUCCGCGCGGUCUGCCGUUGGGUAUGCACUGCGUGUGACUUAUCUUUUUCGGGGCAGCGCGCGUUGCUUAAUUGUGGCGUGUGUCUCCUCGCUUUUACUUUGAGAAAAUCAGAGUGUUCAAAGCAGGCCUUUGCCAUUGUAUGUGUUAGCAUGGGAUAAUGGAAUAGGACUCUGGUGCUAUUUUGUUGGUUUCGAACGCCGGGGUAAUGAUUAAUAGGGAUAGUCAGGGGCACUCGUAUUCCGUAGAGAGAGGUGAAAUUCUUAGACCCACGGAAGACGCACUACUGCGAAAGCAUUUGCCAGGGAUGUUUNCACUG
rnacentral:rRNA from 1 species